rnacentral:rRNA from 1 species
GAUGAACGCUGGCGGCGUGCCUAAUACAUGCAAGUCGAGCGAACAGACGAGGAGCUUGCUCCUCUGACGUUAGCGGCGGACGGGUGAGUAACACGUGGAUAACCUACCUAUAAGACUGGGAUAACUUCGGGAAACCGGAGCUAAUACCGGAUAAUAUAUUGAACCGCAUGGUUCAAUAGUGAAAGACGGUUUUGCUGUCACUUAUAGAUGGAUCCGCGCCGCAUUAGCUAGUUGGUAAGGUAACGGCUUACCAAGGCAACGAUGCGUAGCCGACCUGAGAGGGUGAUCGGCCACACUGGAACUGAGACACGGUCCAGACUCCUACGGGAGGCAGCAGUAGGGAAUCUUCCGCAACGGGCGAAAGCCUGACGGAGCAACGCCGCGUGAGUGAUGAAGGUCUUCGGAUCGUAAAACUCUGUUAUUAGGGAAGAACAAAUGUGUAAGUAACUAUACACGUCUUGACGGUACCUAAUCAGAAAGCCACGGCUAACUACGUG